UGACAGCAACUGAUGAGAUAUGUAGCUCACCAAUGAUUUCACUCCAUGACAGUCCAGUUUAUGUGCAACAGGGAAACUUCCUUUUCAUCCUCGCUCUCAGUUCCUCGUGUACUUGUCCCAACUCUGGCAGGUGUUGCCUUUCACACUUUCUCUAUUCCAGAAAGUUAGCAAAUUUGGCUGCGUGGUAGUGAAAAUAUAGAAAAUUGGAUUGAGGGAUGGUUGGUUUGCACAUAUCAGGAAAUAUGAUUCGAUGAGGUGAUAGAAGGCUGUCUUGUAUCCGGAACGCAAAGUUAUGGAAUCAAUAAAGGGCUGGACGUCAUGGUUUCAGAUGGUGACAUAGCUCUUUGUAGCCUACCAGCCAAAUCCCUCCUCCCUUCCUCCCACCCAACGGUUUCCACAGAGCUGGUGACACGCGCUGUCUGAAGCUCGGAAAAAAACGACUGACCGGUGGAACGCAAAAUGAACGGAAAGAUAUAACCCAUGAAGCGCUAGAGCCAAGAUGGACACAUGCCUACUGCCAUAGUCCCCAUGCAGAGCCAUUGAAAUGGUCCCUGGACCUAGCAGCCUCUGCCUAAUUUCCCAGCUCUCCAGACUCAGAUGGCUGUGCUGGCAUGACACUGCUUGUGUCACUCCUGCCAAAGUACUGAGGGAUGGGGUGUACAUUUUCUCUCCCUUCUCUCUGCAGAGAGUUUGUUCUGGAAGUGGUCAGUAACUUAAUGUCUGUAACUUUCUAUUGAGACUGUGGACUUGUUGAUGCAUGAACUUAAAUGUGGUUUCAAGAAUCAAUGACCAUCACCUCGCCUUGGAUCCAAAGGGUUCUCUGUUAGUGAUGAAUUGCUCACUAGAUUGACCUGUUUCAAUGUAAAGUAUGGGCACCAGAGGGCAGAGGCACGCAGAAUGACCUGAAGCAUGAAAUAGUGUCAUAAUAAAUGUUUACAGACCAAUGUCAUUAAUAUUAUGUAAAUCAAUAUCUAUAGUGAUGUUUGCAAACAAUAAAUGCAAAUCCUCUUAAACAUCUAAAACCCAGGAAUUUAGUGUAGUGUUCUCUGCAGUGGAAGUGCAUAAGUAGAUAGAAAUGGGAUUGGCCUAGUAGUCUAGGUGAUCACACCUUCAAACUAAGCAUAUUUCACUUGCAGUUCUUCACAUAAUAUGACACUAAAUGUUUGCUGGAUCGCUGAACUGUGACUUUUAUCACCCACAUUAUCAUCAAUCAGUGAUUGAAUGAAAAGGAACACUGUGUGGACAGACAGGAAGGGAGGAUGGAACAGAUAGACCCCACCAAGCACCGCCCGACACCAAUGUCUUUUGGACGUCUUUCUUUGGUCUCGUCUCUUUUUAAGAUUUUUUUCCCCCGAACCGGACAUGAUUUCAACGUCCACGGACAUUGGUCUUUGGUCCAGAUCGGCCUAUAUUUUCCCCAAACAUAGACUUCUAUGAUUGGUUCAGAUUUGGAUCUAUGUUUCACAAGUUUGGACAGAACAGGGCAGUAGAGUACAGUAGAGCACAGCAGAGUACAGAAAAUAAAAAUAAAAUAUAUUUCAGUAGAGUACUGCACAAUAAAGUAUAGUGUAAUAUGCUGUAUUGCACCCUCCUUUACUCUAAUGUACUCUACUCUACUGAACUAAACUGUUCUGUACUCUAUUAAAAUAAACUCAACUGUACUCUACUGAAUUAAACUCUACUGUCCUGUACCGUACUGUACUCAAUAGUACUCUACUGUGUUCUUCUGUACUGAACUGUGCCAUACUAUACUGUCCUGUUCAAACUUGUGAAACAUAGCAUAGACGUCUAUGAUUUGUUAAAAUUUGGUCUGGUCCGGAUCAACCUAAAUGUUGACUAUUUUGGCGGCGGGGCUCAUUAGCAUAAUACCCAGCACGUUUUGCAAGUGUUCGUUUUUUUACAUUCAAUUAACGUAGAUAAACAACAACAUAUUAAUCAUAGCAGGAAAAUGAAAAAAUCUGUAACCAUUACUGAGAAUGUUAUUGUAGAACAACCUGAAAUAAACUUGAUUUC